UACGGGGGUGAGCGAGCGUUGUCCGGAAUCACGUGGGCGUAAAGGGCGCGUAGGUGGUUUGGUAUAAGGGUGGUGGUGAAAGUCCGGGGCUCAACCCCGGAUCUGCCCGUGCCGACUGUCAAACUCGAGGGCUGUAGAGGCAGACGGAAUUCCGGGAUGUGAGCGGUGGAAUGACGUGAGAGAUCCGGAGGAAGACCGGUGGCCGAAGGGCGGUCUGACUGGGGCAGUUUCUGACGA
rnacentral:rRNA from 1 species